UACGUAGGGGGCAAGCGUUGUCCGGAUUUAUUGGGCGUAAAGAGCGUGUAGGCGGCCAGACAGGUCCGUUGUGAAAACUCGAGGCCCAACCUCGAGGCGCCGAUGGAAACCGUCUGGCUAGAGUCCGGAAGAGGAGAGUGGAAUUCCUGGUGUAGCGGUGAAAUGCGCAGAUAUCAGGAAGAACACCCGUGGCUAAGGCGGCUCUCUAGUACGGUACUGACGCUGAGACGCGAAAGCGUGGGGAGCGAACAGG
rnacentral:rRNA from 1 species